rfam:Saitoella complicata NRRL Y-17804 DNA, contig: contig064, whole genome shotgun sequence.
UCCGUUAUGGUCUAGGGGCUAGGAUACUUCGCUCUCACCGAAGAGGCCGGGGUUCGAUUCCCCGUAACGGAA